GCCUGGGUGGCUCAGUCUGUGAAGCAUCUGACUUCGGCUCAGGUCACCAUCUCCCAGUUCGUGGGUUCGAACCCCUUGUCAGGCU
rnacentral:tRNA from 1 species